rnacentral:rRNA from 1 species
GAUGAACGCUAGCGGCAGGCUUAACACAUGCAAGUCGAGGGGUAGAAGCAGCUUGCUGCUUUGAGACCGGCGCACGGGUGCGUAACGCGCAUGCAAUCUACCUUUUACAGAGGGAUAGCCCAGAGAAAUUUGGAUUAAUACCUCAUAGUAUGUGAGAAUCGCAUGGUUUUCACAUUAAAGUUCCAACGGUAAAAGAUGAGCAUGCGUCCCAUUAGCUAGAUGGUAAGGUAACGGCUUACCAUGGCGACGAUGGGUAGGGGUCCUGAGAGGGAGAUCCCCCACACUGGUACUGAGACACGGACCAGACUCCUACGGGAGGCAGCAGUGAGGAAUAUUGGUCAAUGGGCGCAAGCCUGAACCAGCCAUGCCGCGUGCAGGAAGACGGUCCUAUGGAUUGUAAACUGCUUUUANACAGGAAGAAACCCUCCACGUGUGGGAGCUUGACGGUACUGUAGGAAUAAGGAUCGGCUAACUCCGUGCCAG